UGUAUAUGUGUGUGUGGGGGGGUGUCAUUUCAGUCCUCGCACUGGCUGACCCGCCACCCGAUGGGUGUUUUCAUCUGUUGGCAUCUUCUUGAAAUGCCAGCCUGGCUGAGUUUAUAAAUGGGGGUGGACAACGAUGACGAACGAGAGUCUCGACAUAUAUUUGAGCCGGCUUGGACCGGCUGGACCGGCUGGAUCGUUUGAUUGAUGAAUGAUUUUAUUAGCCAUUAUCGAAAGAAAUCGUUUUUGCAAGAAGAUUCUUCGAGCUGUGAAUGGGGCAGACCAGCCUGAGGAUUUGGAGAGAAAAAUUAUCCCGGUCCAGGUUCCUUCCUUCCCCCUCAAGGGCAGGGCUGCUUCUGACGCAGACAUCCCAAAUUUUAGACAACACCCAAAGAAGGAUAUCUGGCGUGGAGAUUGUAGUUGCUGAGAAGGAUGGUCGGUUUGAAGCCCACCGACAUCCCACCGUCGGCGCCCAUCAAAUUCCUCAGCGCUGGCACAGCUGCCUGCGUUGCUGAUCUCUGCACGUUCCCCUUGGACACGGCCAAAGUCCGGCUCCAGAUCCAGGGGGAAUCGAGGACCUGCAAAGCGAGCAGACAAGUGAAAUACAAAGGGGUGCUGGGCACCAUCGCCACCAUGGUGAAGAUGGAAGGGCCCAAGAGCCUCUACAACGGGCUGGUGGCCGGCCUUCAGCGCCAGAUGAGUUUCGCCUCGGUCCGGAUCGGACUCUACGACUCCGUGAAGCAGCUCUACACGCCCAAGGGCUCCGAGCAUUCCAGCAUUUUCAUCCGACUCCUUGCCGGCUGUACCACCGGCGCCAUGGCGGUGACCUGCGCCCAGCCGACGGACGUGGUGAAAGUCCGCUUCCAAGCCCACAUCCAGCUGGUGGGGGCUCCCAAGAGGUACAAUGGGACAGUGGAUGCCUAUCGGACAAUCGCCCGGGAAGAAGGGGUCCGAGGCCUCUGGAAAGGGACCUUCCCCAACAUCACUCGUAACGCCAUUGUGAACUGUGGGGAGAUGGUGACCUAUGACCUCAUCAAGGAGACCCUGCUGAAACAUCACCUGAUGACAGAUAAUUUCCCAUGCCACUUUGUGGCGGCGUUUGGAGCUGGUUUCUGUGCAACGGUGGUGGCGUCACCGGUGGACGUGGUCAAAACGCGGUACAUGAACUCCGGCACCGGACACUAUAAGAACGCCUUGAACUGCAUGCUGACCAUGGUGGUGAAGGAAGGACCCCGUGCUUUCUACAAAGGCUUCAUGCCUUCUUUCUUACGGUUGGGAUCCUGGAACGUGGUGAUGUUUGUGUCCUACGAGCAGCUGAAACGGUUGCUGGUUUUGGCUCAGCUUUCUUGGGAGACCCCCUUCUGAUCUGAUCGGAUCCGGGCCAGGGUCUCCUCCAGCCAAAGAGAGAACCACAAGGGGGGGGGACUUUUAAAUUCUGCAAACAGUAUUUGCCGGGAUGGCAAGCCUACCUAUCAAUUAUAUUAAUUGCCGCCAACGCUGUGCCCAUUGAGGCACGAGACUUAAACACGCUGCAAGAAGACUUUUUAUCACGUUAACAAGGCGCAACUAGACAUGGAUCACACAUGCUUGCUCAGCAAAAGCCAGCCAGAUGUGGAUCAGAUAGCACGGGGUCUCCGUGAGAGGAUCCCAAGAGUGAAGGAAGCGGUGGAAAAAGAGAGACUGUUUUCUGAAAUCCUGCUAAGACAGGGCUUUUCAACCAGGGGUAUGGGUACCACCUGUGGUAUAUUGGCACCUGGCAGGGGGUACACGACCAUCCUAGAAAAAUGGC